AGAGGGCAUUCCCCUUAUUUAUAGGGAAAAUGAUGUAACACAGGUAAAAGUGGGAGGUGAGCCAAGUAGAUUCUGGGAAUAGGUGCCUGUUGCCUUGGCAACGGGUCUGCGGGUCGCACUGUCGCCUGUGUGACGUCAUAGGUUUGGGAGGUCGUGAUGCCAACAGCAUAAGCAUGCAGCAGUGAAUCCUUCAUUUGUCCAGACCCAGUCUCCAGGGCCACAGCUUCCUACACAGACAUCGCCCUGCCCAUCCGAUGGGGUUGUUAGCAUCUUUCUCUCCUCUUGAGGAAACACAACCGCUUGGGACUCAGUUCCUUUUUCAGAUUUAUGUCUUUCAGUCAAAGGCUAAAGCCAUCAAGAUGACUAAAGGUGUUUCCUGAUAAGCCUGACAGCCUUGGUUGGAUCUCAGGACUCACAUGGUAGAAGGAGAGAACUGAUCUUUGCAAACUGCCUACUAACCUCCACAUGUGGUGCACACAUGCAUAAAUUCAUAAAUAAAUUAAAUGAAAAACAAAAGUCAACUGAAAAGUAACUCAAGAAUAAACCUGCCAUCUU
rnacentral:lncRNA from 1 species